CUUAUAUACUUGUUAUUUAAACAAUUCAAUAUAUAUACGAUUUCACACACAGUAUAAGAUUCAAAGAGUCGGAAACAGUCGUUGUUGCAAAGCGUUGGUGAAAGGUGGAUAAAAAGUGAUCUUUGCUGGACGUAAAUUUAUUGUGGUUAUUUUUUUUUACAUCAACUUCAAUGGCUUGUAUGUUUGAAAAAAUGAAUAAUGCUACCAAAG